rnacentral:rRNA from 1 species
CUACGGGAGGCAGCAGUGAGGAAUAUUGGGCAAUGGGGGAAACCCUGACCCAGCAAUGCCGCGUGCGGGAAGACGCCUUUCGGGGUGUAAACCGCUUUUCUGCAUGGAGAGGAAGGACGGUAGUGCAGGAAUAAGUCACGGCUAACUACGUGCCAGCAGCCGCGGUAAUACGUAGGUGGCGAACGUUAUCCGGAAUCACUGGGCGUAAAGGGUCCGCAGGUGGCAUGUCAAGUCGAUUGUGAAAGCUCCCGGCUAAACUGGGAGAGGAUAGGUGAUACUGUUUAACUAGAGUGAGAUAGAGGCAAGUAGAAUUCCGGGUGUAGUGGUGAAAUGCGUAGAUAUCCGGAGGAAUACCAGUGGCGAAGGCGGCUUGCUGGAUCUCAACUGACGCUGAGACGCGAAAGCGUGGGUAGCGAACGGGAUUAGAAACCCGUGUAGUCC